rnacentral:rRNA from 1 species
UACGGGGGGAGCAAGCGUUGUUCGGAUUUACUGGGCGUAAAGGGCGCGUAGGCGGCCAGCACAAGUCAGUUGUGAAAUCUCCGAGCUUAACUCGGAAAGGUCAACUGAUACUGUGCGGCUAGAGUGCGGAAGGGGCAACUGGAAUUCUUGGUGUAGCGGUGAAAUGCUUAGAUAUCGUCAAGAACACCUAUAGCGAAGGCAGCUUACUAGGCUGUAACUGACGCUGAGGCACGAAAGUGUGGGGAUCAAACAGG